UAGCUAGUUGGUGGGGUAAGGGCCUACCAAGGCGACGAUCGGUAGCUGGUNNGAGAGGAUGACCAGCCACACUGGAACUGAGACACGGUCCAGACUCCUACGGGAGGCAGCAGUGGGGAAUAUUGGACAAUGGGGGCAACCCUGAUCCAGCAAUGCCGCGUGUGUGAAGAAGGCCUGAGGGUUGUAAAGCACUUUCAGUGGGGAGGAGGGUUGAUAGGUUAAGAGCUAAUUAACUGGACGUUACCCACAGAAGAAGCACCGGCUAACUCCGUGCCAGCAGCCGCGGUAAUACGGAGGGUGCGAGCGUUAAUCGGAAUUACUGGGCGUAAAGGGUGCGUAGGUGGUUGAUUAAGUUAUCUGUGAAAUUCCUGGGCUUAACCUGGGACGGUCAGAUAAUACUGGUUGACUCGAGUAUGGGAGAGGGUAGUGGAAUUUCCGGUGUAGCGGUGAAAUGCGUAGAGAUCGGAAGGAACACCAGUGGCGAAGGCGGCUACCUGGCCUAAUACUGACACUGAGGCACGAAAGCGCGGGGAGCAAACAGGAUUAGAUACCCUGGUAGUCCACGCUGUAAACGAUGUCAACUAGCUGUUGGUUAUAUGAAAAUAAUUAGUGGCGC
rnacentral:rRNA from 1 species